rnacentral:lncRNA from 1 species
GAAAUUACUUAAUCUAAAUUUUCUUUUUAUGUCGUUAAUGGCUAUAAAGCAUUGAAAAACAAAAUAUUAAAUUCGGGAUAGAUAUUUGCAGCCGUAAGAACUAAAGGGGGAGGGAGGGUCGACAGAAGGAGACGACUGUAAAUAAAUUAAAAUUUCUGGUCUUCCACAAAUAUCAUUUAAAUCAAAGUUUUGAGUAGAUUUCAUGAAACCCACCG